CUAUUUAUUGGAUGAUGGGGGUGUGAGGGGGUUCUCCGCCAGGUGAUUGUGCUAUUCUUGAAGCUCGAUGACUGCAUUUCUUGCGUUUUCUGAAGCAAAUUCGUAAACGAAUUGCACUAACAUUUCUGACAAUUUGCUAUUUCGCCAAGGCAAUCCUUUAAAUUGAAAGGGCACCUUUGCCCCCCUUGCCCCUCCUGGUAAUAAAGGGCAACGGGGGCUGCUGCCCCUCCCCCCAGUUCCGGCGUCCCUGUGUGAACCUUUGAACAAUCUUGAAAACCUGCCUCCCGUCCAUCUCUUUCAGCCAUUAUCAAACUGGAAGUACUCCUCUCACAUCUGGUCAGGCAAUGGAACCCCGCUCACGAAACACCCAUACCUUUAUUUAGAAGGAGAACUUCGAAGUUAGUAGAGGGUCGGGUCUUCGUCAGGAAGCUACAGGGUUUAUUUUAACGUGCAGUUCUACACAAAAUGUGCAGUUCUAAACCCAUUUGUGCAGUUCUUAAAACACAAAUGUGCAGUCACCAAACUAACAUUUACUCGUUACCCUUGUGGAUGCUCCAGAAAAUUCCAGAAAUGCUGUCACUAAUUGAGCAUCAAAAAUAUAAACUUUUCUGGAGGAGGACUCCAGACCCUCCUAUUUUCCUCACAAAUCACUUACGUGCUGGGCCGGGUUGAUGGAAAAUAAG